ensembl:snoRNA
AGCACUAUUUUUAAACCUGUUGGUGGAAUUUCUUACCACCAUGGGUUACGCUGUAGUGCAAAAGAAUUUCCUGGCUCUUUGGAGCAUUGCUGACCUUGCUCUGUUCAGCUGAUGCCACUCUGAAGCAAAGGAACAGAA